rnacentral:rRNA from 1 species
AUUGAACGCUGGCGGCAGGCCUAACACAUGCAAGUCGAACGGUAGCACAGAGAGCUUGCUCUCGGGUGACGAGUGGCGGACGGGUGAGUAAUGUCUGGGAAACUGCCCGAUGGAGGGGGAUAACUACUGGAAACGGUAGCUAAUACCGCAUAACGUCGCAAGACCAAAGUGGGGGACCUUCGGGCCUCACACCAUCGGAUGUGCCCAGAUGGGAUUAGCUAGUAGGUGGGGUAAUGGCUCACCUAGGCGACGAUCCCUAGCUGGUCUGAGAGGAUGACCAGCCACACUGGAACUGACACACGGUCCAGUCGCCUCAGGGAGGCAGCAGUGGGGAAUAUUGCACAAUGGGCGCAAGCCUGAUGCAGCCAUGCCGCGUGUAUGAAGAAGGCCUUCGGGUUGUAAAGUACUUUCAGCGGGGAGGAAGGCGGUGAAGUUAAUAGCUUCACCGAUUGACGUUACCCGCAGAAGAAGCACCGGCUAACUCCGUGCCAGCAGCCGCCGUAA